rnacentral:rRNA from 1 species
UCCCAACCCCUGUGAACAUACCUAUACGUUGCCUCGGCGGAUCAGCCCGCGCCCCGUAAAAAGGGACGGCCCGCCCGAGGACCCCUAAACUCUGUUUUUAGUGGAACUUCUGAGUAAAACAAACAAAUAAAUCAAAACUUUCAACAACGGAUCUCUUGGUUCUGGCAUCGAUGAAGAACGCAGCAAAAUGCGAUAAGUAAUGUGAAUUGCAGAAUUCAGUGAAUCAUCGAAUCUUUGAACGCACAUUGCGCCCGCCAGUAUUCUGGCGGGCAUGCCUGUUCGAGCGUCAUUUCAACCCUCAAGCUCAGCUUGGUGUUGGGACUCGCGGUAACCCGCGUUCCCCAAAUCGAUUGGCGGUCACGUCGAGCUUCCAUAGCGUAGUAAUCAUACACCUCGUUACUGGUAAUCGUCGCGGCCACGCCGUAAAACCCCAACUUCUGAAUGUUGACCUCGGAUCAGGUAGGAAUACCCGCUGAACUUAAG